rnacentral:misc_RNA from 1 species
GCCGUCAAUUCAUUUAAGUUUUAAUCUUGCGAUCGUACUCCCCAGGCGGGGCACUUAAUGCGUUAGCUGCGUCGCAGAAACCGUGGAAGGUUUCCACAACUAGUGCCCAUCGUUUACGGCGUGGACUACCAGGGUAUCUAAUCCUGUUCGCUCCCCACGCUUUCGCUCCUCAGUGUCAGUAAUGGCCCAGAGACCUGCCUUCGCCAUUGGUGUUCCUCCUGAUAUCUGCGCAUUCCACCGCUACACCAGGAAUUCCAGUCUCCCCUACCACACUCCAGUCCGACCGUAUCGAAUGCAGGUCUGGGGUUAAGCCCCAGAUUUUCACAUCCGACGUGACGAACCACCUACGAGCUCUUUACGCCCAAUAAUUCCGGACAACGCUUGCACCCUAUGUAUUACC